GCGGACGGGUGAGUAAUGUCUGGGAAACUGCCUGAUGGAGGGGGAUAACUACUGGAAACGGUGGCUAAUACCGCAUAACGUCGCAAGACCAAAGAGGGGGACCUUCGGGCCUCUUGCCAUCAGAUGUGCCCAGAUGGGAUUAGCUUGUUGGUGAGGUAACGGCUCACCAAGGCGACGAUCCCUAGCUGGUCUGAGAGGAUGACCAGCCACACUGGAACUGAGACACGGCCCAGACUCCUACGGGAGGCAGCAGUGGGGAAUAUUGCACAAUGGGCGCAAGCCUGAUGCAGCCAUGCCGCGUGUAUGAAGAAGGCCUUCGGGUUGUAAAGUACUUUCAGCGGGGAGGAAGGUGUUGUGGUUAAUAACCGCAGCAAUUGACGUUACCCGCAGAAGAAGCACCGGCUAACUCCGUGCCAGCAGCCGCGGUAAUACGGAGGGUGCAAGCGUUAAUCGGAAUUACUGGGCGUAAAGCGCACGCAGGCGGUCUGUCAAGUCGGAUGUGAAAUCCCCGGGCUCAACCUGGGAACUGCAUUCGAAACUGGCAGGCUUGAGUCUUGUAGAGGGGGGUAGAAUUCCAGGUGUAGCGGUGAAAUGCGUAGAGAUCUGGAGGAAUACCGGUGGCGAAGGCGGCCCCCUGGACAAAGACUGACGCUCAGGUGCGAAAGCGUGGGGAGCAAACAGGAUUAGAUACCCUGGUAGUCCACGCCGUAAACGAUGUCUACUUGGAGGUUGUGCCCUUGAGGCGUGGCUUCCGGAGCUAACGCGUUAAGUAGACCGCCUGGGGAGUACGGCCGCAAGGUUAAAACUCAAAUGAAUUGACGGGGGCCCGCACAAGCGGUGGAGCAUGUGGUUUAAUUCGAUGCAACGCGAAGAACCUUACCUGGUCUUGACAUCCACAGAACUUUCCAGAGAUGGAUUGGUGCCUUCGGGAACUGUGAGACAGGUGCUGCAUGGCUGUCGUCAGCUCGUGUUGUGAAAUGUUGGGUUAAGUCCCGCAACGAGCGCAACCCUUAUCCUUUGUUGCCAGCGGUCCGGCCGGGAACUCAAAGGAGACUGCCAGUGAUAAACUGGAGGAAGGUGGGGAUG
rnacentral:rRNA from 1 species